GAAAAGCACCCCGGAAGGGGAGUGAAAUAGAACCUGAAACCGUGUGCUUACAAGUAGUCAGAGCCCGUUAAUGGGUGAUGGCGUGCCUUUUGUAGAAUGAACCGGCGAGUUACGAUUUGAUGCAAGGUUAAGCAGUAAAUGUGGAGCCGUAGCGAAAGCGAGUCUGAAUAGGGCGUUUAGUAUUUGGUCGUAGACCCGAAACCAGGUGAUCUACCCUUGGUCAGGUUGAAGUUCAGGUAACACUGAAUGGAGGACCGAACCGACUUACGUUGAAAAGUGAGCGGAUGAACUGAGGGUAGCGGAGAAAUUCCAAUCGAACCUGGAGAUAGCUGGUUCUCUCCGAAAUAGCUUUAGGGCUAGCCUCAAGUGAUGAUUAUUGGAGGUAGAGCACUGUUUGGACGAGGGGCCCCUCUCGGGUUACCGAAUUCAGACAAACUCCGAAUGCCAAUUAAUUUAACUUGGGAGUCAGAACAUGGGUGAUAAGGUCCGUGUUCGAAAGGGAAACAGCCCAGACCACCAGCUAAGGUCCCAAAAUAUAUGUUAAGUGGAAAAGGAUGUGGCGUUGCCCAGACAACUAGGAUGUUGGCUUAGAAGCAGCCAUCAUUUAAAGAGUGCGUAAUAGCUCACUAGUCGAGUGACACUGCGCCGAAAAUGUACCGGGGCUAAACAUAUUACCGAAGCUGUGGAUUGUCCUUUGGACAAUGGUAGGAGAGCGUUCUAAGGGCGUUGAAGCAUGAUCGUAAGGACAUGUGGAGCGCUUAGAAGUGAGAAUGCCGGUGUGAGUAGCGAAAGACGGGUGAGAAUCCCGUCCACCGAUUGACUAAGGUUUCCAGAGGAAGGCUCGUCCGCUCUGGGUUAGUCGGGUCCUAAGCUGAGGCCGACAGGCGUAGGCGAUGGAUAACAGGUUGAUAUUCCUGUACCACCUAUAAUCGUUUUAAUCGAUGGGGGGACGCAGUAGGAUAGGCGAAGCGUGCGAUUGGAUUGCACGUCUAAGCAGUAAGGCUGAGUAUUAGGCAAAUCCGGUACUCGUUAAGGCUGAGCUGUGAUGGGGAGAAGACAUUGUGUCUUCGAGUCGUUGAUUUCACACUGCCGAGAAAAGCCUCUAGAUAGAAAAUAGGUGCCCGUACCGCAAACCGACACAGGUAGUCAAGAUGAGAAUUCUAAGGUGAGCGAGCGAACUCUCGUUAAGGAACUCGGCAAAAUGACCCCGUAACUUCGGGAGAAGGGGUGCUCUUUAGGGUUAACGCCCAGAAGAGCCGCAGUGAAUAGGCCCAAGCGACUGUUUAUCAAAAACACAGGUCUCUGCUAAACCGUAAGGUGAUGUAUAGGGGCUGACGCCUGCCCGGUGCUGGAAGGUUAAGAGGAGUGGUUAGCUUCUGCGAAGCUACGAAUCGAAGCCCCAGUAAACGGCGGCCGUAACUAUAACGGUCCUAAGGUAGCGAAAUUCCUUGUCGGGUAAGUUCCGACCCGCACGAAAGGCGUAACGAUUUGGGCACUGUCUCAACGAGAGACUCGGUGAAAUCAUAGUACCUGUGAAGAUGCAGGUUACCCGCGACAGGACGGAAAGACCCCGUGGAGCUUUACUGUAGCCUGAUAUUGAAAUUCGGCACAGCUUGUACAGGAUAGGUAGGAGCCUUUGAAACGUGAGCGCUAGCUUACGUGGAGGCGCUGGUGGGAUACUACCCUAGCUGUGUUGGCUUUCUAACCCGCACCACUUAUCGUGGUGGGAGACAGUGUCAGNGCGGGCAGUUUGACUGGGGCGGUCGCCUCCUAAAAGGUAACGGAGGCGCUCAAAGGUUCCCUCAGAAUGGUUGGAAAUCAUUCAUAGAGUGUAAAGGCAUAAGGGAGCUUGACUGCGAGACCUACAAGUCGAGCAGGGUCGAAAGACGGACUUAGUGAUCCGGUGG
rnacentral:rRNA from 2 species